rnacentral:rRNA from 1 species
GACGAACGCUGGCGGCGUGCCUAAUGCAUGCAAGUAGAACGCUGAAGAGAGGAGCUUGCUCUUCUUGGAUGAGUUGCGAACGGGUGAGUAACGCGUAGGUAACCUGCCUUGUAGCGGGGGAUAACUAUUGGAAACGAUAGCUAAUACCGCAUAACAAUGGAUGACACAUGUCAUUUAUUUGAAAGGGGCAAUUGCUCCACUACAAGAUGGACCUGCGUUGUAUUAGCUAGUAGGUGAGGUAACGGCUCACCUAGGCGACGAUACAUAGCCGACCUGAGAGGGUGAUCGGCCACACUGGGACUGAGACACGGCCCAGACUCCUACGGGAGGCAGCAGUAGGGAAUCUUCGGCAAUGGGGGCAACCCUGACCGAGCAACGCCGCGUGAGUGAAGAAGGUUUUCGGAUCGUAAAGCUCUGUUGUAAGUCAAGAACGAGUGUGAGAGUGGAAAGUUCACACUGUGACGGUAGCUUACCAGAAAGGGACGGCUAACUACGUGCCAGCAGCCGCGGUAAUACGUAGGUCCCGAGCGUUGUCCGGAUUUAUUGGGCGUAAAGCGAGCGCAGGCGGUUUGAUAAGUCUGAAGUUAAAGGCUGUGGCUCAACCAUAGUUCGCUUUGGAAACUGUCAAACUUGAGUGCAGAAGGGGAGAGUGGAAUUCCAUGUGUAGCGGUGAAAUGCGUAGAUAUAUGGAGGAACACCGGUGGCGAAAGCGGCUCUCUGGUCUGUAACUGACGCUGAGGCUCGAAAGCGUGGGGAGCGAACAGGAUUAGAUACCCUGGUAGUCCACGCCGUAAACGAUGAGUGCUAGGUGUUGGAUCCUUUCCGGGAUUCAGUGCCGCAGCUAACGCAUUAAGCACUCCGCCUGGGGAGUACGACCGCAAGGUUGAAACUCAAAGGAAUUGACGGGGGCCCGCACAAGCGGUGGAGCAUGUGGUUUAAUUCGAAGCAACGCGAAGAACCUUACCAGGUCUUGACAUCCCGAUGCUAUUUCUAGAGAUAGAAAGUUACUUCGGUACAUCGGUGACAGGUGGUGCAUGGUUGUCGUCAGCUCGUGUCGUGAGAUGUUGGGUUAAGUCCCGCAACGAGCGCAACCCCUAUUGUUAGUUGCCAUCAUUCAGUUGGGCACUCUAGCGAGACUGCCGGUAAUAAACCGGAGGAAGGUGGGGAUGACGUCAAAUCAUCAUGCCCCUUAUGACCUGGGCUACACACGUGCUACAAUGGUUGGUACAACGAGUUGCGAGUCGGUGACGGCAAGCUAAUCUCUUAAAGCCAAUCUCAGUUCGGAUUGUAGGCCGCAACUCGCCUACACGAAGUCGGAAUCGCUAGUAAUCGCGGAUCAGCACGCCGCGGUGAAUACGUUCCCGGGCC